UACGUAAGGGGCAAGCGUUGUCCGGAAUCACUGGGCGUAAAGCGCACGCAGGCGGUCUGUUAAGUUUGGAGUGACAGUUGGUGGCUUAACUGCCAAAGUGCUUUGAAAACUGACAGACUUGAGGGCUUCAGAGGGACACGGAAUUCCGGGUGGAGUGGUGAAAUGCGUAGAGAUCCGGAGGAACACCAAAGGCGAAGGCAGUGUCCUGGGGAGUACCUGACGCUCAGGUGCGAAAGCCAGGGGAGCGAGCGGG
rnacentral:rRNA from 1 species